CAUCCGGGUCCGUUCAAGAUCUGAUAUUCCUUGAGAGAGUAGGCGUUUUCGAUGAGCGUCAUCAGCGCGUAGUUGCCCAGCGUGAAUCUUUCCGGGGAGUAAUGAUUGCUCAUGGCCGUCGCCCCGGGAUCACCCGGUUUGAUCGACGCCACUUCGAUUUCCGGCGGAGCCGCGGCGGUCUGGCCAAAUACCAACCCGGUAACGAUUACGAAUGCUACGGUCGAAGUCGGUCUUGCCAAACAGGUCGCAAUUUCCAUGUCGGCCAACGAAUUGCCACGA
rnacentral:misc_RNA from 1 species